rnacentral:rRNA from 1 species
GUGCCAGCAGCCGCGGUAAUUCCAGCUCCAAUAGCGCAUAUUAAAGUUGUUGUGGUUAAAAAGCUCGUAGUUGAACCUUGGGCCUGGCUGGCCGGUCCGCCUCACCGCGUGCACUGGUCCGGCCGGGCCUUUCCCUCUGUGGAACCCCAUACCCUUCACUGGGCGUGGCGGGGAAACAGGACAUUUACUUUGAAAAAAUUAGAGUGCUCCAGGCAGGCCUAUGCUCGAAUACAUUAGCAUGGAAUAAUAAAAUAGGACGCGCGGUUCUAUUUUGUUGGUUUAUAGGACCGCCGUAAUGAUUAAUAGGGACAGUCGGGGGCAUCAGUAUUCAACUGUCAGAGGUGAAACUCUUGGAUCAGUUGAAGACUAACUACUGCGAAAGCAUUUGCCAAGGAUGUUUUCACUAAUCAGGGACGAAAGUUAGGGGAUCGAAGACGAUUAGAUACCGUCGUAGUCUUAACCAUAAACUAUGCCGACUAGGGAUCGGACGGUGUUAUUCAUGACCCGUUCGGCACCUUACGAGAAAUCAAAGUGCUUGGGCUCCAGGGGGAGUAUGGUCGCAAGGCUGAAACUUAAAGAAAUUGACGGAAGGGCACCACCAGGGGUGGAGCCUGCGGCUUAAUUUGACUCAACACGGGGAAACUCACCAGGUCCAGACACAAUAAGGAUUGACAGAUUGAGAGCUCUUUUCUUGAUUUUGUGGGUGGUGGUGCAUGACCGUUCUUAGUUGGUGGGGUGACUUGUUCUGCUUAAUUGCGAUAACGAACGAGACCUUUAAUCU